rnacentral:lncRNA from 1 species
CAGAGAAAUCAUAGUCACUGGUUUGAACGGACUAAUCAAGACCUAUGAACUGCUGUCUGCACUAAUAUCCACUUUCCCAGAGAUCAAAGCCACGUGGCUGGGGAGACAGACUUUCAGCUGCUUUUCUUGCAUCCUUUUCUGAUCAGAGUGAUUUAUCACUUGAAUGCCAUCAUCGGGUCACAGGCUUUUUACUUCAGAUAUUUGGUAUCAGACUGUUGAGUAUCAGAUGAUUUAGCAUUUGAGUUUAUGCUUAAUCUGUCUUAUAAACAACCCUGUGAUUUAAAAGAAAAUGAAAGCCUCUUCUAUGAGGAAAGCCUUGUCUAUGGGACUCUAAGAAAUGGAAGGAGGCAAUAUUUAGGAAAUCCA